AUGUUAAUUAUAAAUAGACAUAACAGCUGCUGUGGUGUAGUGGUUAUCACGUCAGUCUUACACACUGAAGGUCUCCAGUUCGAUCCUGGGCAGCAGCAUUUUUAUUUCUUUUUCCUCUUUUUUGGCCCCAGUCAUCUGGCAUUUUAUGAUAAUAUAGCAGGACAAAAUGUUAACAGUUCUUUUCUCUCCCUACAGCAAAAAACCAUCAUGUUCUUCAUGAAGAAAAUAAAGCCCCAUGGCAACACCACACAGCCACCGUUAUUCUCAUGGCAACUACAGCAAAAACCAUCAUGUUCCUCAGGAGAGCAUGACAAAGAUCCGAAGAUGUGUUCUCGCAAAAUAACUAAAUCAGAAUACACAAGCCUUAGGCGUCCCCGGCCCCACUAG
rnacentral:tRNA from 1 species